UACGUAGGGUGCGAGCGUUGUCCGGAAUUAUUGGGCGUAAAGAGCUCGUAGGCGGUGUGUCACGUCGUUCGUGAAAACCUGCAGCUUAACUGUGGGCGUGCGGUCGAUACGGGCAUCACUGGAGUUCGGCAGGGGAGACUGGAAUUCCUGGUGUAGCGGUGAAAUGCGCAGAUAUCAGGAGGAACACCGGUGGCGAAGGCGGGUCUCUGGGCCGAUACUGACACUGAGGAGCGAAAGCCAGGGGAGCAAACGGG
rnacentral:rRNA from 1 species